rnacentral:rRNA from 1 species
CAGCGCCACGAGUGGCAAUCACAAUUAUUGGGCCUAAAGCGUCCGUAGCCGGUCUGGAAAAUCUUUUGUGAAAUCGUACGGCUUAACCGAACGGCGUGCAGAAGACACUACCAGACUAGGAACCGGGAGGAGUCAGAGGUAUGCCGGGGGGAGCGGUAAAAUGCUAUAAUCCCUGGUAGACCACCUGUGGCGAAGGCGUCUGACUAGAACGGAUUUGACGGUGAGGGACGAAAGCUAGGGGAGCGAACCGGAUUAGAUACCCGAGUAGUCC